CCCCCCCACGGAGGAGACAGAUGGAGGCGUUGUGUGGAAAAUCAGAUCAAGGGAACCAGAACCGUACGCUGGGCCAAAUAGUCCACAGGUGGACGUGUGUGAGCAAGAGGAUUAGAGCGUAUGUGUCAGUGUUAGUGUGUGUGUGUGUGUGUGUGUGUGUGUGUGUGUGUGUAGAUGUCAGUUUAUGUGUGUGUGGGUGUGUUUGGGCUCUGUGUGUUUGUGUUGUGAGGAUGUCAGUGUGUCUGUGUGUGUGUAUCCUUGAGUGAGUGAGUGUAUGUGUGUGUAUGUGUGUGUGUUUGAGGAUGUCAGUGUGUGUCUGUUUUCGUCCUGUCCUCAGUAUUCUCCACCUGCUGUCCAUGAUGCUUUAAGAAUAGAAACCUCCAGUCGAUUCGCUGUGUUUAGGAUGAUGAAGGGGUGAGGGUGAUGAAGGGGUGAGGGUGAUGAGGUGGUGAGGGUGAUGAAGGGGG
ensembl:lncRNA